rnacentral:lncRNA from 1 species
UUCGUACUCAUAAGUUGUUUUUGAUGAUGAGGUUUCCAAAUCGACGAUCCACUCCGUUAAAUAUGAUCUAGAGCAUUUAAAACUUCUAGAAAAUAAAUUUCGUAAUUUUUCGAAAUCAUAAUAAAAUCCAUCAAACGUGCAUAAAAUGAACGGUCGAAAUCGAACGACGUCCUAAAAAUGGAUGAUCGGAUCCUUCAAUUAAAGAUCGGAGUUAUUGAUCUUUAUCUAGAUAGUGAAUAGAAUUUUCUAUAAAAAAUUCAACCUAUUCCAAUUCUUUUACACCGUUAAACUAGCAAGUAUUCCAUACCGGCCGUUAAAAAUUGUCAAUUUUGUGAGCUUUUGAUUGUAAGGUAAAUGAUGUCGAAAAAUUACGAAAUUUGAUUUCUAGAAGUUUUAAAUGCUCUAGAUAAUGUUUAACAGUAUGAAUCAUCGCUUCGGAAGCUAUAUAUAUAUAUAUAUAUAUAGGCUAAUGCUACUAUCCUAUUAAUAGGAUAGGAGCACUUGUCCUAUCAAGUUGUUCUUGAUGAUCGAGAUUCCGAAUCGAUCAUCGGAGUCGUUGAAGUUGAUCUAAAGUAUUUGAAAUAUCUAGAAACUAAAUUUCAUAAAUUUUAAUGAUGGUUUACAUGGUGAUCAAAGUGUCGUAAAAUCGACAAGUUUU